UACGUAGGGCGCAAGCGUUGUCCGGAAUUAUUGGGCGUAAAGAGCUCGUAGGCGGUUUGUCGCGUCUGCUGUGAAAACCUAAGGCUCAACCUUGGGCUUGCAGUGGGUACGGGCGGGCUAGAGUUCGGUAGGGGAGACUGGAAUUCCUGGUGUAGCGGUGAAAUGCGCAGAUAUCAGGAGGAACACCGGUGGCGAAGGCGGGUCUCUGGGCCGAUACUGACGCUGAGGAGCGAAAGCGUGGGGAGCAAACAGG
rnacentral:rRNA from 1 species